GGGCUUGUGGUUUAGGGGUAUAAUGUUCGCUUCGCAUAAUCCAAAUGUGCUUGCGAAAGGUCCUGGGUUCGAUUCCCAGCAAGUCCA